rnacentral:rRNA from 1 species
UACGUAGGGUGCGAGCGUUAAUCGGAAUUACUGGGCGUAAAGCGUGCGCAGGCGGUUUUGUAAGUCAGAUGUGAAAUCCCCGGGCUUAACCUGGGAACUGCGUUUGAAACUACAAGGCUAGAGUGUGGCAGAGGGGGGUGGAAUUCCACGUGUAGCAGUGAAAUGUGUAGAGAUGUGGAGGAACACCGAUGGCGAAGGCAGCCCCCUGGGUUAACACUGACGCUCAGGCACGAAAGCGUGGGGAGCAAACAGG